rnacentral:rRNA from 1 species
UACGUAGGGGGGCGAGCGUUGUCCGGAUUUAUUGGGCGUAAAGAGCGUGUAGGCGGCCAGGUAGGUCUGCUGUGAAAACUCGAGGCUCAACCUCGAGACGUCGGCGGAAACCAUCUGGCUAGAGUCCGGAAGAGGAGAGUGGAAUUCCUGGUGUAGCGGUGAAAAUGCGCAGAUAUCAGGAAGAACACCCCUGGCGAAAGGCGGCUCUCUGGGGACGGUACUG